GCACUUGCAUUUGAACCUCAAAAUAAUCUUAUGAAAUAUAAGGAGCACAUGAUAUAACUGAUCCUCAGAAAGGAUAGAUGACGGUCAUAGUACAUACAGUUUUCUGGUGUUUUUAUCUAAUUUCAUGCUAUCAUCAGUAGAAACCUUAACAAAUUUUCAUUUGAUAGACAGGUUUUAUUUCUGUUAAGUAAUACUCUUCUCCUUCCAUCAUUUUUCCAUUAAAACUUCCAUUUUGUUCUGGCUUCCCAUGAAGCAGCUAUACCUUAGUGUAAUCCAUUCCUAGCCUCCAUGUUUCAUGAUGCAAAUCCCUUCUCUCACUGCUGAUGAUAUAGCAUAGAGUUGGACAAAUUUCUUCUAUGAAGAACCAGAGUGUAUACAUUUUAAGCUUUUCAGGCCCUAUGGUCUCUAUCAUAACCACUCAACUCCCGUAAUUGUAGUGUCAAAUCAGCAAAAGCACAGUACAUAAAUAAGUGAUGUGGCUGUGUUCCAACAAAACUUUUAUGAACUUUGAAAUUUGAAUUAUAUAUGUUUCAUAAAACAUUCCCUUUGGCUUCUUUUACAAUCAUUUAAAGAUGUCAAAAUCAUUCUCAGCUUACAGGCUUUACAAAUGCAGGUGGCCAGCCAGAUUUGUCCUGCUGACUAUAGUUUGUCAACACUUUAUAUAGUAUAUUUAUUAAAGGAGAGCCUAGAUAUAAACCAGGGUACUUUAAUUAGAAGCAAAACUGGCUUGAAUCCAGUUCUACCUGUGGAAUUUCAAAGCUGUUUCUAAGUUUCCUGUUUAGGGUAGACAGGCUCUUGUGGCUUCCCUUACCUUCUUCCUUAUGUCAGAGCCUUUCCUGUAAUUUGUGGAUCCUGCUAUGAAAUACAUCCCCUUAACUGAGUCCCCCCAAGUACACCCCCACCCACACAAGUCUUCUUGAGCAAAACUGACCUUACUGAGAAAUUGAGUGGAAGAUUUGUCACGAAAACCCAAGCAAUGUCUAGUAGAACUGUGAUGUCGCGCUUCUUAAAAUGUCAUUCUAUCACUUCACUGCUAUUUUUUUCCUUUUUUCCAACAAAUAAAGAAUAUAUCUUCUUUAAGAGAACUGAUCUAAGUUUUUACAAAAGUGGUACCUUUUCUGCCCUUUUGAAUGUUAGGUAUUGUGUUAGUCAGCUUUUCCUACUGUAAUCAAAAGUCCUGACAAGAAUAAUUAGAGGAUAAAAAUUUUAUUUGGUGAUCAUGGUUCCAGAGAUCUCAAUCCAUAGACAGCUGAGUGAAUUGCUCUGGGUCCAAGGUGAGACAGAACGUCAUGGUGGAGAAGUGUGGUGGAGGAAAGCAGCUCAGGACAUGGUACCGGGUAUCAGGGUGAGACUCCAUUCACCAGAGAUAAAAUAUAAACCCCAAGGUCACACCUCCAUUGACCUACCUCCUCAGUUAUACACUGCUUACCUUCAGUUACCACAUAGUUAAUCCCUGUCAGUGAAUUAAUGCACUGAUUAGGUUAAGACUCUCAUAACCCAAUAAUUUUACCUCUAAACUUUCUUUCAUUAUCUCACACAGGAGCUUUUGGGGAACAUCUCAUUUCUGAACCAUAACAGAUAUAUUCAUUUGUUCAUUUAUUCAACAUGUACUUUUUGAACAUCUACUACAGUGCUGUCCAAAGUAACUUUCUGUAGACAUAGAAAUAUUCCAUAUCUGGGCCAUCCAAUACAGUAUCCUCUAGCCGCAUGUAACCUUUGAGCAUUUAAAAUGUGGAGAGUGAAACUGAGGAAGUGAAUUUACACUAUAUUUAACUUCAGUUAAUUUACAUUUUGAUAGCCACAUUUGGCUAGUGCUGCCACAAUGGGCAACACAGAUCUAACGUGCAGGCCAGUAAGAUGCUGUAUGAGGCUCUGCUAAUUCUUGGUUCCUAAAACUUAGGACAAGGUUGGUACUGGCCCUCACUGCCACUGUGCCAGACUUAAUUAAAACUUUGCAGUUUAUCGUGGCUUUCUUAUAAUUAAUAACUCCAAGCUUUUAUGCUUCACAUCUGUCACGUAGCUGAGGUUAAUCUCUGGCUUUUACGAUUUUUUUUCUUUUCCACUUCAGUUGUACAUGAAUGCAAAGGUUCUUUUCCCCCAAGAGCACAUUCCUUAUUCCAAGCACAUCUUUAGCUAUGUGUUCAAAAGUUCUAUCAAUUCCAGCUGUUUUUUCACCAAGUAUAGAAACACAACAGCUGGCCUUUGUUUUAAAUGCCUCCCCAUGUGGGCUAAAUAUUUCAUCUUAUAUACCGUUUUGAUAUGUUGACAUGGGGAUGAACAAUAUGGAAACUAUCCUAUGGAAAUAUUGAUGCUUUGUAACCAAGAUGAUUGAUCCAGCCACAUUAGGAGGGAUGUGAAAUAGAGGGAGGAAAUUUCUCUGAAAUGUGCAUGGCCAUUUAAUUACUGUAGGCAAACAGUCUCUAAGGCUGUGCAGCCAGCUUUUGGAACUGUCACAAGAAUAAAAUUAACCUGUGUUGUAUAGCACAGUUGGAACCAUUGUUGCCAGGCCACUUGGUACAUCUUGCCAGAGGAUGUGAUAUUCAAAUAUGCAUGGGUCUUGGAAAAGCCUAGAUUUAUGACCCUAGCGGUCAUAAAUUUAGAGGCUAAAUUAGUGUUGGAAUUCACUAUAAAAUUGUGAGAAAAUGACAAGGUGUUGUCUAAGAGGUCUGGUAUGUUAAGAAGACUAACUAGCUCCAGGCUUCCCUAGAUACUUGAUUCACUUAGCAAGUGGUAGAUGUAUAGAGUUCUAGAAUUCUUCAAGACAAGAGAUAAUGAUAAAUCCUCUCCAGAUUAGAAGACAGAUUAAUUAUAAAACAUCUAGUUUGGGGUUGGAGGUGUUGUUCAGUGGUAGAGCAUUUGCCAAGCAUGUGCAGGGCCCUGGGUCUGAUCCUCAGCAAUGAAAAAUUAAUCUAGUUUGGAUCUUAUCAUAAUUAUAUGAUUAUAUGUCACUUAACAAUUAUUAAUUCCCUUUGUUCCCUGAAUUUUGAGGCUUCCAUCCCUAAGGAGGAGCCAUGUCCAAAGAAGUCCUCUCCCAGGCACUAUGACCAGCCCACAUACUUCCAAGGAAUGGAGGUGCCCUGAAAGAACUGAGAGGCAGGGCAGAGGUGAGUACUAAAUGCCAUUUAUCAGUGUCACAAGCAUGAUAAAUGCAGUCCUCCACUGUAAGCAGGGAAAAACUCAGAAACAAGAAAUUCUUACAGAGAAUGAUCAGGAAAGAUGAGCUCAAAUUAAAAAAACACUAAAGAAAAAAGAAAUAAAUCACCAAAUCAAGAGUUCCGACUCAACAAAAUGAAGAAUUUGAGGCUAGAUAGAAAAGAAUAAAUAUGUUUAAUGGACAUAAAGAAAUAUUUAGAAGUAUUAAGAAAUGAAGAGGACCAAGAUAUGUACAAAAUGACCAGGAAAGUUAAAAUAAAGCCUGUCAAAUAGAGAAAUAUGUAAUGAUUGCAAUGGAUAACUUAAUAGCAGUUAGACCUAGCUGAAAGGAGAUUUGUGAAUGAUAAAUUAGGAUCUAAAAGAAUUAUAUAAAGUAAAUGAUAAACAAGAUAAAAUGUUUUUUAAAAAGUUUAGUGUAAGGAGGUUUAACAAUAUUCAAUUUAUAGUUUAAGAAGGCAACAGAAUGGAGGAAAAAUGAUAUUCAAGAACAUACUGAAAUUUUUCCAAUAUUGUAGGAGGGCGUAAAUUCUCAGGUCCAGAAAACACAAACAAAUCUAAUAUGAGAAAAAUAAAAAUAGUUUUUACUUAUAUCCAUUGAUAUGAAAGGACUCACAGAAGUUUAUAAAAUGAUCUAUGAGGAUCCAAAGAUAAAUUAUAGUAAAACUAGAAAAACAGGCAACUUCUCAACACAAUCAAUGAAUGCUAGCUAACAGUAGAAAACAGUGAAAUAGUAUCUUUAAAGUGAUGAGAGAAAAUAACUAUCAACUUAGAAUAGCAUGCUCACAGAAACUCUUUUUUAGAGCGAGCAACAUAAAUAAAUUUCAGACAAAGCCAAGAAUAUCCAUUAUAAGUUAUCUACGUACUCUAAAAAUAAAUAACAUACAAAGUAUAACUUAAAGAGUUACACAUCAUCCUCAGUGGACAUAUAUUGUGUCCAUAAUCAGAAAGCAAAACUGCUACUCAUGUGUAAGACUGUGAGUAAAGGAUGCUUUAGAGAAAAGAGACAAAAGGUGCUCUCCCAUUUUAGAGUGAUGAGACCAGUGACUAGCACAGGACCUGGUAGAGGACAGAUGGUUGCUUGUCUGCAGACAGAAUAUGUAUCUUCAUUUACUUUUUUUCUAUUUGACACUUCCCUUUUCAGCACCCAUGUUAGCAUGUCAUUUUCAAAAGCCACCAAAUAUAUCAAGGUGUUGUUUAUCUACUAAUGGCUAAACUGGCUUAUCUCAGGUUAGGAAUUAAUAAGUGUUAUUUUAAAUAAACCUAGUGUCAGUUUACUUUGAAAGAUUGCUAAUAGUGCAGUAGGCAAGAGAGACUUCAAAUGCCAAUCCAUAGGUAACAACUUAUGUCUAAUUUUAUGAGCGUCAAUAAAUAUCCAAGAUAUUAUAGUUUUGAGAAUUCUCCUUUGCUGUGGGAACAAAUUAUUUUAAACUACAUUUUGGCCCAAGCUCAAAUAACACUUCAAAGAGCAAGGGAUAGUGUGGUAAAACAAUUGCUGCCUGGUGAUCUGAAGAAUUGGGUUCUAGCCCAGCUGCUCUUUGGCUUCACCCUGAUCACCUGACACAGUGUGUUAGUCAACUUUCCCUCACUAUAACAAAAUAGCUGAGAUGAUUAACUUUUGAAAAAGAGAGGUUUUAUUUUGGCUCACAGUUUUGGACAUUCUAGUCGAUGACUGAUUGGGCAACACAUUAUGGCAAAAGCUUGUGGCAGGAGCAAAACCACUCAUCAGGAGCAGGGAGCAAAAAGAGGAAGAAGAAGGGUCCAGGGUUCCACAAUCCCCUUUAAGGAUAUACCUCCAAUAACCUAAAGACCUCCCACUAGGCCUUACCUCUUAAAGCUUCCCUCACCUCCUAAUAUCAUCACCCUGGGGACCAAGCUCUAACACAUGGGGCUCUGGGGUAUACUGAAGAUCCAAACUAUAAUACAUAGAUUCUUAAUUUCCAUCUGUGAACUAUGGGUCUUGAACUAAGUCAUCUUCAAAGGAUAUAGGACUGUUACCAUUCUGUAUUUUACUACAAGAAUAAUUUUUAAAACAGACCUAUUGUUCACACCAACAAAAAAGCUAUAAUAAUACCUUUAACUGUGUCUUCAGAAACAUUAUGGAGGGGGGUCCUUGAGUCUCACUAUUAUCUGAGUGCACUAUCAGGGCUGAUUUAACCUUUAAACACAGUGGGCACUAUGGCCCAUGAUACUUAUAGGGGUCCAUAGAAAUUUUUUAAUUGUAGUUGAUUUUAAAAAUCAGAAGAAAAAAUAUGAACAUAAUAAUAAUGAAUACAGUUGAUAAAUAUGCAGGCUAGAUUACAUUUCAUACCAACUCAGUCAUAAAAUUUGAUUUUUAUGACUUUUUAAUGGAGAAAAAUGCCUAUGGGUCAUAAUGCAGCUCUAUCUACUGUCCUGAUGUAGAGGAAUUUAUAAAACUUCAGAUUUGAUGAAAACUAGCUGAGUCUGUAAGGGUCUCUGCAUUCUAGGACCAGUAGUUGGUACUUGGUGGCUACAUGUAGAUAUAAAGUUACAUUUUGAGAGUAAAACUAGUAAAAUGAACAUGAUGAAUGAGACCAAUAAUUUACAAAAAUGACUUUAAAAUAUAUGAAGUCUCCUGGGAAGAGUAAAGUUGGGAUAUCCAUGAUAGAGCUGUAACCAUUAUUGAGCAUCUAUGAUGUGCCAGGUGCUACACUGUGUGGUAUGGGCACAUUCGUGCUUAGUCUCUAACACAGCCUUGUGAGUUAGCAUUAUCAUGAACCCAUGUAUAGAAGGAUUUGAGGCAUGAAAACAUUAGGUUAACUGACUUAACGUCACCUGUUUGGUAAAGUGGUAGAAAGAGGGUUUGAGCAUAGAGUUUUAUUUGGAAGAUUGCAAAGAUGCCCCCAACAAAAGCCCCACCCCUGUGGAAGCACACUAAUGCCUCUGUGGCGUUAGCAGAGCUCAGCGAGGCUGGGCAGGACAGCAUGGCACUGAGGGAGGAAGAGCAGAGACAAGGUGGCUCCAGGUGGAUUACACCUAACCAUGAACACCAAAAGUCAAGGCUGAUGGAAGAAAUUGUAAACUUUUUUACAGCCAUAUUAGAUACAAACCUCUUCAGACACUCACCAUUCAAAUCCUCUUAACUCUGCAAAUCAGCAUGAUUUCCAGGUAAAUCACUGUCAAUGGGCUUUCAUGAGGAACAUCUGAAAAAAAUUUGUAUUAAUAAUAGACUGACAGUUGUAGAAAUAAAAUCCAAGUUUCCAAUGGUUGCUGUGUAAGAGAUCGAAAAACGUUGAAAUUGGUGAUUAAGAAUAUGAACAAGUGACCAUUCCCACAGACUGAUGGGAGUCACAAAAGAGAGGAUCAUCUGGUGACGAGAUGUCAGGACUGAAGUGGAGAAGAAAGAAACAAACAAGAAGACUGCCUUUCGCCAUGCUGCUAAGGGUUCUAAGAGUCCUAGCAAGAUCACAUUGGAAGCUAUAAACACUGUGCAUAGUGUUUAUAGUUUUUAGUAACUAAUUAUACACAAGUUAAUUCAGAGUAAUUUGUUUAUAGCUCUUAAUUCAUAUGGUCUUCAUGAAGUUAUUCUGUUUGUUAUUAUUCCUUUUGUGAACUUUAUUAAGGAUUGAAUUAAUGAGAUUCUCCAGAAUUAAUGUCUAUAUCAAAUUGACCUUGAUUGGUGUAUUUACCAUGCUUUUUAUUUCUCUGAUGCUUUGACGUCUUAUGACUUUGCUGCCCCUGGAGGAAUGCCCUUCUCAAAGUUGGCGCAUUUCAAGAGAUAAAAAACUACUCAGCCAUGAGUGUGUCAAUCACCUCAAAGUGUAUACCCCUACCACCAACCAUUUCUUUUAUUUGCUGUCUCACUCUUGGCCACUAUGCACCUGCCCUAAUCACCUCAGAGUUAAGCAGCAGACAGCAGGGAACAGUUCCUAUACCCCAGAGCCCUGGGAACUUCUUCAAACUAGUCCAUUGUAGGCAUGCUGACCCUGCCUCACCAGUUCCUCCCCACAAUAAAGGCUCUUGUCCACAUUUCCUCCCCAGCUCCUCUGCCUCCUAAACGACUUAGAUGCCUCCCCAUCUUUACUUCCCCAUAGCAUGGUGUGCCCCCUUCUCAUUGGAUCUCCAAAAAUAUCAAUCUACCUUUUCUCUUUUAUGGUGCUAGGGAUGGAUGCAACUCAGGGCCUCACCCAUCCUAGGCAAUUGUGCUAAUACUACCCCAAGCACAUGGUCUAGCUUUUCCAUCACAGUUGUCUCCUGGUUUGUGAGCCUUGACAUACCUAGAUAAUAACCUAUAUUGCAAAGUAAAUAGUAAUUAUCUCUAAGAUACUGGCAGGAAAACUAAGUUAGAUAGAAACUCUCUUCACUGUAUUAGAACCUCUCUUUCACUGUCAGCUUGGGUUGCCAUAAUAAAAUACCUUCAGUCCUCAAUAUACUAUAGCUCUUAAUUCAUAUGGUCUUAAUUCAUAUACAAUAAACCAUUAUUGGUUUGCAAGUUUGACUUUCAAUGGUAUGAAAGUGAUACUCAUUCAGUAGAAACUGUACUUGGAAUUUUGAAGCUGAUCUUUUCCCAAGAUACUGAUACAGGGUUGGGGCUGGACUGAAACCCAGGUCUGCGCCCCCGAACUAUGCCCCGGAUACUGUAUAUCCUCUAGUGUAAUAAAGGGGAUUCCCCCAUGUAUUACUACACAGAGACCUGUGUGACUUAGAUUUCCAGCUCUGGACUCCCUUUGUUUCAAUUACAUGCUUGUCUAGAAGCUUCUGAGGCCUUCCCAAGAUCCUGAUAGAGAGUUUCUCUGUGUGGCAGUGUCUGACCAGUCAUUAGAAAGGAAUAUUCCUGACCACUUAUCCCAGGAUUAAUAAAUUGGUAUUGCAUCCAGUACCUUAGGAAUUUUUGCUUUGCUUUUUUUUUUUUUAAUCACUCAAGCCUAAUAAUAAUUGAGGGAAUACUAAAAAAUUUAGUUCCUGACCCUGGAAAUCUCAUGUGCAGGCCUUGGCUAUAGUGACCAUAACAAUGAACCACCUCAUUAUGCAUUGCCCUCCAUCCUGGCCAGUCUUUCUGUCUCACCCCUUUUGGCCUGUCUCAGGCACCAUGGAAUUCUUCUGACAAGGUCCCAAUUGAUUUUGCCACCUAUGUUAUUAUAUGGACUUAAUGUGGAUCUGUGUUAAUAUUCUUUCUGACAUUGAAAUAAAUUAUCUGAACAGCUAUGCCUUUCAUUCCAAUGAAAAGUAUUAAAUGUGGGCAUUAUUCUUGAUUUUUUUAUGAUUUUAAAUUUCUCAGUAUUAUUCAUAGGAAACCAGGGAUUCGUUUCUGAGUAAAGAAAAGUGGGAUUAAGGGAGAUUUCUUUAGAAAUCCUGUAACUGCUUGGGAAGAAAUCUUGGUGUUGGUAGGACAUCCCUUAUCCAACAUACUUUGAACUAGAAGAGUUUCUGAUUUCUGAUUUUCAUAGUAGAAAAUUCCAAGCAUGUUGCAAAGGGACCACUAGGUAAGCACAUUAGCAGAGAUAAAAGGCAGACAGAUGCCAAUCAAGAGAAUGGGGGAUAAGACCCUCCAAACAGGGGUCAGAGGGCUAGGAAGGCAGAAUGAAUCUAGGAAACCAGCUCAGUGUGCUUUCCAUGGACUUUUAUUUUUUUUCCCCUGAAGCACAACUAUUUCAUUUCUCUGAUUGUACAUGAUGCAGCAUCACACCAUAUGUGCAGUCACACAUGUACCUAGGGUAAUACUGUCCAUCACAUUAAACCAUCUUUCUGUCCCCAUGACCCCUCUCCCCACCUUUGCCCAAAGUUCCUCCAUUUUUCCCAUGCUCUCCCCCAUUAUGGCACCACUGGAUAGCAUUAGCAUUUAAAUAAAGCUAGGCUUGGUGCCAGUUUUCAGAGAAGGUUUUCUGUCCUUUUUGAGGGGGAACGGGAAAGCCUUCUUUGUCAGUUGGUCCCAACACUGCCUGGCAAUGGUAGGGAUUACAUAAUAUUUGUAGAAUGAAUAUUCAUUUGCCUCUGUGGGCAAAUGAAGGGAAAAGUCCUCAUCCAAUCUAUUAUAGAAGCUAACUGCAUUGCCCCCCAAUCUAUUAUUAUUACUAUUUGCAGUACUGGGGAUGGAACUCACAUGCUACGUGGUAAGCACUCAACCACGGAGCCACACUCCUAGCCCUUGUACUCAAAUUUAAAUGAAUUUUAAAAUCCGAUAUUUUUGCAGAUAGAAAUGGAAAUUAUGUCACCUUUAUAAAGUUAACCUUUUACUGGAAGGUUUCUUAAAGUCCAGACACUGGUUUAUCUGGAAUAACACAGAAAAAGUAUACAUAAUCACAACUUUUGAUUUCUUUUUCUCAGUGCUCCACCUUGAGUUUCAGCCACACAUCAUGGUUUCUUGUUCCUAAAUUAUCAUCCUGGUUAUGCCGUGACACAAACUGGCCCCUCUGCUUGGAAAGCCCUUGCCCACACUCCACCUGCUGAAAUUCUACUCUGAUUUCCAUGCUCAUUCCAAGAACCAACACUCUCAUGGCAUUUCCAUUCAUCAGAAUUGAUCUUUCCAUGGUGUCUUCCCACAGAUUCUGUUUUUUUUUUUUUUUUUUGUAGAGAACACAUUUCCUACUUCCUAAUUAUAAGCUCCAUGAGUAAAAGGACCAGAGCUAGACUCUGUACUUCCUAGUGUUCUCAGCCUAAUAACUUGCCUUACAGAGAAUAUUCUCACCUUUUCUCCCUGAGUACCACUUCUAGCAGAGGAACACGGGCCUUUGGAUUGCUUUGAGAUGGAAUUUCUUUGAAACUGUGCUUUAUCUUAGAAAUUCAUGUGAAUUUUACAGUGAACUCCAUCCUUUUCUAGUAGUAAUUCAAUGUAAAAAUGCUUGAAUGGAAGGCCAGUCAUCAUGGUGUAUGCCUAUAAUUCCAUGUACUUGAGAGGUUGAGACAGGAGGAUAGUGAAUGCAAGGUCAGCCUGGGAAACAUGGUGAGACCCCAUCUCAAAAAAAAAAAAGACUCCUUUGUAAAACUUAUAUUUCAGAAACUGCCACUGUUUAUGCUUUAAUUAGUUAGAUCUCCUAGCUAUGACCCUGGGGAUACACAGUCUUAGUUGAAGCUUUAAAAUGUUUAUUGAACAGAAUUAAACAAAUGUAAUAUAAAGUGAAGUGUUUGUUCCAAAUACCAAAUAAUUGAGAAAAUAGAGUCAAGUUAUAUAGAGGCAGCUUAUCUCCAAGAAGAAGCCUAGAAUAACAUUUCAGAGAAUUAUUUAAACUAGCACAAGACCCCUGGCAAGCUUUGUACUCAAUGGUUGCUGAUGUGUCCUUCUUCCUCCUCCAGUUUUCACAUUCUACCUGUGAAAUGCAGGGCAGUCAAUUGCCCUAAAACACUGCCUCUCCAAAGGAGAAGUGCCCCUUGGUUCCUACUUGUGAAGAUAUUUUAGCCUAUGAGUUUUUGGAUUCAUGUUUAUUUUCAUGAUUGCAUUAGGGAAAAAAUGCUUUAUAUGCUUUUAGCUGACACCUAGUAUUAAUAUCUUGCUGUGGAAGAAAUAUAAUUCAGUUUUAAUGAAUGUGCCUAAUAAAGAUAUUUUAAAUGGACUGGAGAAAUACCAGAUUCAUAAAAAGCCUUAGGAAAUAGGUAAAUUGCUGAAUUUGAAUGUAAAUAAAUAAAAGAUCCUUGAAUGUUACCCUCUGCUAAAAUAGAUACUGAUGUUAAGGGACUUGAAGAAAUAAUUUCUUUAACUACAUCCUUAUGGCCCAUAAGAUGCUAAAUUCCUCCCCAAAUAAAUAUCUCUAUGAUAACAUAAUAGUCAUGGAAGCCAGCGUAACAAAGAACUCUGUGGACUCUGUAUGGGCCAAUGCAUUCAUGCAAAACAAACAAACAAAAACAGGUGCUCUUCAUUUUAACUUUUAACAAUAGUCUGAUUGAUAAUGGCAAGUUAGCCAUCUACCUGAGCACAGAUGUGACUUCUGUCCUUGCAUCCUUCCUGUAUCCUGGCAAGAGUCAUAUUAAUAUGUGUUGAAUGAAGAAGGGACGUAGACCUCAUGAUGGAAUUUUCUCUCUCUGUAGGAGUACCUCUCCCACACCUCUAAAAUUCUUUGCAUAAUACAGCCUGGUGUCCUGGAACCAGGUGUGAAAACAAUACUUUUAUAUAUUUUUCUCUCCUUGAAUAUUUGUUUAUGUUCCUCCUUUCUUAGCUGCUGACAAAACCAACAAAGAGACAGGAUUUUCUCCAGUCUAGCUUUGACAUUGUAAUGGAAUGCCCUUGCUUCUGUGGCCCCUUUCUUAAUGUUUAUCUAACUGCACUGUUCCUUGCAUGGGGGGCUCUCUGGAACAGCCAUUCUGUCAUUUAGGGCUUGGCUGUCUUUCUCACAUCUCCCUGAUUCCGAGUAUUUUCUGUUGCACUUGGGCUGAAAUUGUGUAUAUGCAGUAAAAUCACUGAACUGAGGAAGAGCUGCCCGCCUGCUGCUCCCACAAGGCACACCGUAUCCGGAAGGGCAACUCAUCAUGGAUGCGAUGAUAUUUCAGUCACGCUGUGACGGUGGCACACAGGUUUAAUCAACUUCGCCACAGAUGCAAUUCACAGUGGAUCCCGUUUGUUUCCCUUAUUAUCAGAAUGAAUACACACAGGAAGCUCAUUUAGCUCCCGCCAUUCCUCAUUUUACCCUCGUGAUAAUCAUUGAUUUUAUUUUCCUGGGUCAGAAAUGAUGAAAUCAAUAUCUAACACGGCAAGUGAUAGUUGCUCACACCUUUUUUAAAAUUUGAAUUCUUUCACAAAUUUUAAACAUUUUACCUUGCAUGUAUUUUAAGGAUUAAGUUUGUGAGCUUAUAGAUUUAAAUGUCAAUAAAGGUAGGAGGAAUAAUCAUGCAUUGAAACUAGCUGCAUUAAAUUUUAAAGUGAGAGCAGUUAUUAUGAGACCUCAAAUGUGGAGGUAUUACAUUACGUAAUUGUUAUGAUCCACUAACUCAUUCAUGUGGUAAUUUUCUCAUUAUUCAUUUGACAUAUAGUAAUGUAGCAGUUAGUAUUUUUUAGAGAGCUUAAAACGUUAGGUAUUGACAUAUAAAAAUGUUCUUAAACUGUCAAACUUUAUAAAAAUAUUUUAUCUGAAUUUUUUUUUGUUUCAAUUAAUUUGUUCAUUCUCAAAAUGUUAGACACGCUGUGUGGGAGCCAAGCCCUGUGCUAAGGACUGUGGAUUCACAGACCAAAAAGAACUAGUCCCUCCUCUCCAGGAACCAGAAACAGAGAAAGGGAGAAAGAAGCAGACAGAGAAAAGGAGAGAAUUGAUAAGGAAGUAAAAAAUGAAGUUAACUCAUCCAUGGAGAUCUAAUGGGGGGUCUCAUGCCCCCUGGGUGCCAUAGAGAGCAGAGGAGGCAGAAACCAGAGAGAAAUGUCAGCUCUGAAAUGACUCAAGGUACUUAGGAAUGUUGAAAAAUCACGGUUCCUGGGACAGGGAUAGUAAGUGACCAAAAAACUUGCGGAAGAAGCAAGACAUAAAAGGCUAUCCAGACCAUUCUCUGGUGCCUGGAUUUCAUCCUUAUAUCAUGGGAAAUCCCUGGCAAUAUUUAUGCUAAACAACUGUGUGUCAAACCAGAACUUUUUACCCUGUACCAUAGUCUAUUGUGUUACUGAAUGAAGUUCAUUCAUAGUAAUGAGAAGUCAAUGGUAGUACAGAAGAUCCUACUGAUUUCCAAAGAUCCUCCUUAUCAUGUCCAUCACUAGCUCUGAGCAUGAUGAGUGCUAUUUUAGACUCAGAAGACGUGGGUAUAAUUGCCAUCCAGUAACUCUGUAGCCUUGGGUAGCCUGGUUGAUUUCUCUGAGAUGCCAUUUCCUUAUCAAAUAGGCAUGAUGAGACCAUACUCCUAAAUUGUCUCACAGGCCUGUGAUGAGAAUCAGAUAAAGUGAUGUACAUGAAUCAGUUUUAAGACAGUGAAGCAUGACACAUGAAGAAGGUGUUAUUAUCAUCAUCACCAUUAUUAAUAAUAGUAUUUAAGAGAUAGGUGAACCUGAAUUACUUGGCAAUUAAUAAUCAGAAACAGUUUUCUCAGAGAUUUUAAAAAGAUUUGAGCUCAGAAUUUUGCCGUGUUGAAGGACAUGGCCCAAAAGCACACUCAAAGUAAAUACAAAAUCCCAGCUCUGUCACUAGUUGGCUGAGGACAUUGGUCAAGGUAUUGAAAAUGCAGGUCCUCUGGUUUCCUUAUCCAUCACAUGGAAAUAUCAACAGUGCUUCCCUAAUAGGAUUGUUGUGAGAUAUGAGUCUACAUUUGUGCUCAGCACACUGGUACAGAGUAGGCAUUCCAAAAAUGCUAGCUAUUGUUACAGAGGAACGAUGAUUAGACUGAAUAGACAGACUCAUAGAUGUCACUGGCAACAAUGAAUAACAGAAGGUAAGGCACUACUAUUUUUAACGUACUAAAGGAACAAUAAGUAUCAACCUGAAAUUUUAUUAACUCUAGAUAAAUUAUUAAUCAAGGUUGAGAUGAAAGAUAUUUUCAGACCAAAAUCAAAAGUGUUUACAAACACUUUACAAGUCCUAAAAAGGUUUGAAUUCAUAAGGCUGAGUUAUAGGAAACAAAAUUCAUCAUAAAGAGAUAAAAAUAAGCAUUAAUUAGCAAUUGACUAUGCCACUUCCACUAUUUUUUGUGUUGAAAAAAGUUUUAAUUUAAAUUUGAUAAAAAAAAGGAAGGAAGGAAUUAAUCAAUGGGCUGAAAUAUGGUCUGCGUCUAAUCAAGGACGAAUAUUAAAACACUGAAAAACUUUUUAAACAUUGUUAGAAAAAUAUAGACUUAAAUAUUCCUAUUUUAAAAUUAAGAAUAAUUUUCAUUGCAUAAAAUAUAAUAUACAGCUUCCAAAUUGUCAGGGGGGAAACUGGAAGGAAAAAAAUAAGCGUAAACAGAAAAUACAAUAGAAUGAUAGAAACAAGAUAUCAUUGUUUGCAAUAGCAUAAGACAAUAAACAAUAUAGAAAUCACCAAAAGGAGAAUAGACCAAUGAAUGUUUGUUCAAUUGUUCAAUGGUAAGCAACAGAUUAUGUCAUGUGAAUGAGCUGUAAUAUCUAUUAGUGGUCUGUAGUUGGAAGAAAAAGCAAGUUGAAAGGCCUACACUUGGUAUGAUAAAAUUUAUCUAAAUUUCUAAAGUCUGAAAAAAUGGGAGGAGAAGGGGAAAGGAGAAGUGAAAUUAACCAAAACUCAACAAACUUGUAUAAAAGUAAUACUUUCAUAAUCAAUUGGUAAUUUUUUGUCAUAAUUUCUCAGACUUUCCUCUUUUCAUGAAAGUUUAAAUGAUUUUGUAAUUCUCUGAUUAUUUCACAUUCUUGGGGGGUUUUGUUUUUCAGGGUUUUUUUUUUCUUCUUAUUUCCAAUUCUUUUAAACCAAAUAAGUCAGCCCUGCUCAGACAUGGGCACAUUUCGUUCUCUCUCAUAGCUCUUCAACAAGAGGGGAAAUUGCUGAAUUUAACUAAUAAUAAUUACCUCUACAUUCCAGGGAAUGCUGUUUCCUUUCAUUUUAAAUCCGCCAAAUCCUUGGCCUCACUAUCAAUGCAGUACUGAGAUGCCAACUCAAUCAUAAACUCAGAAUUAUUCAAGCAUGGCUUUAGCUUAAUUGCAAAUCAUACAUUUUCAAAUUGUAAUCUAAUUGGACAGCCACUAACUAUCCAAAAAUAUUAGAUUAAUUAUUCCGUGAUUGUUGCUUUUCUUAAAAAAAGGAUCAUUUUUUUCCUCACAGUUCUGAUUACCUACCUGUUUAGUGAGUAGUAUAAUUGAUUAGUGAUUUCCUAACUCCCCAUUUAGGUUCACUUUUGGGACAGUCUAUUUUCAAAUAGUUCAGAGAAGGUCCAAACUGGAAAAAGAAGGGUUUUAGAAAGACCUGUUUAAGCCCAUUUAACAAAUGAGGAAAUUAAGUUCGAGAAACAAAAUUAACUAUCAAAAGUCACAAAUCAGUAAAGGGUACUGUUAGACUAAAGUUCAUCUCUCUUGGUCUACACUUUUAAUAAUCAUCGUGUUUUCUUUGUUUGUUUUGCAAUACUAGGGAUUGAACCCAAAGCCUGCCUCAUGCAUGCUGGGCAAGUACUUCACCUCCAAGCCAAUCCAUUGCAAAUUUUUAAGGCACUUCAGAAACAUGGGUACUGAGGAAGCAGGGAAUACCAACACAGUUUGGUCCUUCUAUCUUCUCUGAUGUGUUCUUCCAUAUGGCUCAUGUCAGAAGAACUGAGACAGUUGGAAAAUAGAGAAUAUUGAAUGUAGUUUUUUGUAAAGUGCAAUAUACAUUUAUUAAGCAUUCAAUAAAUGUUACAUAAAUGACUUAUUUUAUACUUACAGGAAAUUAAGGCCAAAUACCCUUUCAAUCAUUGUGGCAAUAUUGUUUUAAAACUGAAUGUUUGAUAGUUUUAAGUGAUCAGAUUUCCUGAAAGAAUCCAAUGUCCAUAUCAUAUGUUUAUUUUUAAUAAUCCAGCAUUUUGUCAUUGAAACUUCUCGUGAUUUUCUGCUAUCCAAAUCAAAUACAAAAAGAAAAUAAAAGAUUUCUCAGGUAAGUUAUAAAGAAUAAGUUCAAGUUCUGAACUUGAUCUGAUUGGGUCUAGGAACUGACUUAAUGAAACACCAGAGGAAGAAAAAGAGGUUUUAAAAUUGAAAAAUUUCCAAGUGAGGACAGAGAAAAUAGUAUUUAUAAUUUCUAAUUUAAAAAGUUAAAGAUUAAUUUUUAAAACAAGCUAUAUAAGUGGUAGAAAUACCUGCUUAGAAGGGCAUGGUCAUUGGUUCAAUCCUCAGUACCCCCCAACACCCUCCAAAAAUGUAACGUGGAAUUCCAGUGCUGGCCAAGAUGGAGUAAACCUCCUAUGAUUUGUCUCUUACUAUUAUAACUAAAAUGUAGACAGACUAAAAAAGGUGACCACCUGAGGACUCUGAAAAGCAAACAACAAAAGGCAAUUAAACAAGGAAGCCGCAACCUGAAACACAGGCCUCCAGCACAAUGGUGAGUUUCCAAUAUUUCUCCCCCUUUUAUGGCAGCUUUGACUUGAGGGUGAGCCAAGAAGUCUGGGAACAGUGCAGUAGGUGUGAACAAGGAACUUAACUGCUCUUUCUAGCCAAAGGAAUGGGUGGAGGGUGGGCAGAUCUAGCUGGAGAGUAUAGAGGAUUCCCCUCUGUAAUGAAUUGAAUGUCUGGGUUCUCCCAAAUUCAUAUCCUGAAAUCCUAACCCCCACAUUAGGAGGCAGGUAUUAGAUCAUGAGGGCAAAGCCCUCAUGAUUGGGAUUAGUGUCCUUGUAAAACAAGCCCCAGAGAGUUGAUCCUUCCACUAUGGGAGGAUGCAAUGAGAAAUCUAUAUUCUGCAACUCCAAAGAGGACCCUCAUCAGAAACCAACUAUGUUGACAUCCUGAUCUUAAACUUCCAGUUUUCAGAACUGUGAGAAAUAAAGUUUUAUUGUUUUUAAGCCAUUUAGAAAUUAUUAUUCCUUAUAACAAGAUAAGAUAUUCUUGUCUCCCCUGUUUUUCUCACUGUCUCAAAGCCAACCCAAACAGUGCAUUUGAAAAUGCACAAUGAAGCUAAGCAAAAAACUUGAGGAUCCAACUAUGAUCUGCUCUUUACUGUCCAGGUCCCAAUCAGACUUCUCAGUGGUUCAUGCACAUGGGCUUUGAAUGUGGGAAUCACCACCCACAAAUAAUAAAACAAACUCACUAAAUGAUUCUGUGUCCAUCACCUGAUUUCAAGAUUUACUAUAAAGUUACAGAAGUCAAGAUAGUGUGAUAUUAGCAAAAUGUAGACCCAUGGAACAGAACAAAGAGCUCAUAAAUAGAUCCAUUGAAAUAUGGUUAGUUGAUUUUUGGCAAUGCUAUAAAGACAGGUCAAUGGAGAAAGAAUAGUCUUUUCAGCUGGAACAACUGGGCAGUCACAUGCAUAAGUAUGGACGUUGAAGUAAUAAACCUUCUGCAGAAAUUAAUCUCAAAUUGAUUAUAAACCUAAACAUAAAAUUGGACACAAUAAAACUUUCAGUAGAAAACAUAGGAGAAAAUCUUUAUGACCUUGAGUGGGGAAAGAGAUCUUAGAUAUGCUUUUCAAAAGCAUAACUAUAAAAGAAAACAUUGGUCAAUGGGGCUUUGUCAGAAUUUAAAAACAUUUGCUCCAUAAAAAAAUAAAGUUUUUUUCCUUCUCUUUCCAUGGCUAAAUGUUUGUGUUCCCCCAAAUUCAUAUGUUAUUAUGGUCUGAGACUAAUCAAUAUAGAUUAUAAAUUAUAGAUUAUAUAUAUAUAUAUAUAUAUGAUAUUUAAGCAGAAAAGUAAGAUAAGAUAAAAUAAGAUAAUAGAAAUGAGUACUAUAAGCAAUGUUAAACUGCCUUAGUAAUAAGUUAGAAGUAAGCAUAGAACAUAAGUUCAUCAGGAGUAAGCAUAAGUAACACAGGAUAAUCAACUGUAAGACAUAGGAUCUAACCUACAGGAAAUAAGAUAUAAAACAAUGUAGGUUGAUAAGUAUACAUCAGUAGGCCAGUAUAGUUAUAGAUAAAUAUAAGGCUAAUAGGUUAACAUAGAAAUAGUUAAGGUUAAAUCAAUAUGGCCAAAGACAAAUAUAGCUUGAUAUAGCCAUAGUGAUCCAUUUUUAUGACUCUCAUGUGAAACUGACAUAUAACUUGUUUUUAAGAUGUUAAAAAAAUUGUUUUUCUCUGUUUCAUACACCCAUACUCGAACCCAGGAUGUAGACCCACAAAUGUGCUCUAACCCAGGAUGUGGUUGUGUGCUCUCGCUCUGCUAACUGCUUUCUCAGUGCUUGUAACCUGCUUGCUUGCAACUUGCAGAUUCCAUAGGAUGUGGUUUUCUUCCUUAAAUACUCUGGCUAUAGACAAUUCGGGGCUGUUCUCCCAUAGGGUCACUUGGACUCGGUGAGGGACAGUCUCUGGCCAGAUAAUAAAAGACUCUCAAAUUUGCCUUAAAUUCAGAUUUAGAAUGUUUUCUGAGCAGUUGCCCCAUAACAAUGUUGAAAUCCUAACACCCAAGUGAUGGCAUUAGGAGAUGGGGUACUUUGGAGGUACCAUUAAGAGAAUGAAAAGAAAUGCCACAGACUGAGAGAAAAUAUUUACAAAUCACAUAUAUGACAAUAUAUUUGUACCCAGACUAUAUAUACAUAAAAAAGAAAACUUAAUGCUCCACUAAAGAAAGCAAAAAACUAAAAAAAAGGCAGGGGGGCAAUUUGAAUAGAUACUUCACCAAAGAAGACAGAUGAAUAGACAUCUGAAAACAUACUUCAUAAUAAUUGUUUAUUAGAAAAAUUCAAAUUGAAAACACAAUGAAAUACUAUUAUGCUCCUAUUAGGAUGGCAAAAAAAAAAGUUUUUGAACAAUAUUAAGUGUUAGCAAAGGUAAAGAACAGGUGGUAAUGUUAUAUAUUGUGGUAGUCACACCAAAAAAUAGUUUGCCAGUUUCUUAUGAAACUAGACCUGCAAUAACUGUUCAUCUCAGCAAACCUACUCCUGGGUAUUUUACCCAAGAGAAAUGAAACUUAAGUUCACACAAAAAUCUGUGCUGCUAUAUAACAAAAUAUCUGAGACUGACUGAUAUAUAAAGAACGAAAGAUAGUUUCUGACAGUUCUGGAAGCUGAUAAGUCCAAGAGGUUUGGUCUGGUGAGGACCCUGUCUGCUUCCAGGAUGGUGCCUCAUGCCUGCAUCCUUAAAGGGGGUGAAUGUUGUGUCUUCAUGUAGUAGGACUGCAUAAAGACCAAGCCCCAGGGAAGUCUUUUUUUAAGGACCUUAAUCCCAUUCAUGAGACCUCCUAAAGGCCCCACGUAUUAAUACUAUUACAUUGGUGAUUAAACUUCAACAUAUGAAUGUGGGAGGACACAUUCAGAUUAUAAUACAAUUUAAUUCAUAUUCACCCCAAACUGAAGAAAACACAAAUGAUUUUACCUGUUGAAUGGAUAAAUGCACUGUAAUUCAUUCACAUUAUGAAAUAUUACUCAACAAUGAGAAAGAACAAACUGUUGCCAGGUAUGGUGGUCAUGCCUAUAAUCCUAGUGAUUCAAGAGGCUGAGACAGGAGGAUGGUCAAGUUUGAGGCCAGCCUCAGCAGCUUAGUGAGACUGUCUCAAAACUAAUAAAAAAAAAAAAAAAGAAAGAAUUGAGGAUGCAAUUUAGUGGUAAAGUUUGUCUUUGGCACCAAGACAAACAAACAACAGCAACAAUAACAAAAAACAAAGAAAGAAAAGGAAACAAACUAUUAAUACAGUCAAUAAGAUGGAUGAACCUCAACUAUAUUAUAUUAAUCCAGGGAUCAGCAAACUUUGGUUUGCAGGCCAAAUCCUGCCAUCUCUAUUUAUUUAGGUAUUGUCUGUAGUCCUAGUGACUCAAGAGGCUGAGACAGGAGGAUAGUCAAGUUUGAGGCCAGCCUCAGCAGUUUAGUGAGACUCUAUUUCAAAAUAAAGUGGUAAAGACAAACAAACAACAGUUUUCAUGCUACAAUGGCAAAUUUAAGUAUUUGUAUCGGAGAUAAUAUGAUUCCCAAAGUUGAAAAUAUUUACUAUCUGGCCCUUUACAGAAAAAGCGUGCCAAUCCCUGUGAUAAGUGAAGGGAGUCAGAUACAGAAGCCUACAUAAUCUAUGGUUCCAUUUAUGUGACAUUCUGGAGAAGGUAAAACCCCUGGGAUAGAGAUCACUGGUUCCCAGGGGUCAGUUCGGGUAUAGGAAUUGACUACAGAUGGACAGCAUAAGAACAUUUUUUGGGUGUGAAGCAACUCUCCUGCAUCUUCAUUAUGGUGAUCCUCACACAUCUCCAUUCACUUUCCAAAGCUAAAAGAAACGAUUCAACUGCAACUGCAUAUACAAAGUCUUCCUGUAUAUCAACAAAAAACUGAAUAAAAAAUAAGUGCUAUAAAAAUUGUGUAUGUAUUUGGACAUUUUGGUUGCAAAUUGUAGAAGUUGAGAUGAUUUUUUAAUAGGAAAAAUGGAGAUAAUUCAGUAUUCAGGUAACUGGAAGUAAUACUGCCAUCUAUGACAAAUCGAAAAGAAGGGCUUCAGGAACUGGGUCUGAGAGAAGAGAUCUGGAGAUCACAGGCCUGGACUCUUUCUCUCUGCCUGCCCUCAAGUUCUCUGUGCAUGGUCACUCUCCACUGAUCUCUUUGUUGCAGGGAUCCUGUCCUCUGGCAGUCCCAAUUCAGUAGCCCAGCUGGAAACAGACAACUUCUUUUCCUCUAAACAUUCAUUUAACGACUCAGGGAAGGGCUAUGAUGGGCUCUGCUUUGCCACCAGCCUUGAUCCAUGGCUGUUCUCAUCCCAUUUCUGUGACCCAAGGACCAGGGUCUGCUUUGAGAAGAAGAAUGGAAAGCCUUUUGAGUGGACACAAUCCAUAGCAGUCUCAGUUAACUUUACUUGCCAUCAGUGAAUAUAAUUAACAAUCAAUAUUUUAUUUCUAGUUCAUGUCUAUUUAUAGUUUCACAAUUGUUAUCUUACCCUUUACAAACAUUGAUUUGGAAGGCAGGUUUGAGGUAUUUAAAAGAAAGGUUUUGAAGCAUUUGUCAAGUGGUCUCUGACCUACAGAACAGGGAGCCAUUCUUAAUUAACCAUGAAAAUAUUUAUGUCAGCUUUCAGUGGAUUUCAUUUAAGUAUUAAUAUUUCAAGAAAAAAAUGUUGUAAAAGAAGUGACCUAAUGCUAUAGGUAUAGCCCAAAUAAGAGACAUUGUAUGGAUUAAGACUGUACUGUAGCAACCUUUAUGAUUAAGCUUUUUUCCCUUUGAAGUAUGAGCUUUUAAACAUUUAGGGAAAUUCUUUUUAAAAAUUCAAAUCUAGAUAGCCUCUUGUCAAAAGAGAAAAGAUGCAUAAUUCUAAGGAUUUUCUGAGCAUGGCAUCAAUCAUGACGAUUGAAUUUGGCUUACUAAUUUUCCUGCCUCUGUGAAGGAACUAGAACUAACAUUCUCUUUAAAUGGAAAGCAGACAUACAAAGACCUUAAUUUUCUCUUUUCAUGCAGUGUAUGCUAUAAAGAAAUCAUUAAACAAAGUAUAAAACUCCUUCCAAAUCAAAAGACACAGAAAUUUCAUUAUCUUGUUUUUCUCUUUCCCUUUCUGCAGUGUUAUUGCAAGGGCUCCACCUGAUGGGUUAGCUUAGCCAAGAGAAAAUCAACUACACACUGAUCUCAUGUCCCUAAAUUACCACCCAAUAAGAGGAGGAAGAGAGAAAAAUAAAAGCUGGCUUCCAUUUGCCCAGCCUUCUGGUUCAUCGACCUGGGAACACAGACUGCAUUGGCUGCUCAUUUACAGGGCUGCAUUGAUGGCUUCUCCCCAGGAGGGAACCAUGGAGAGAAUCAUUCACCCUCAAACUCCUCUGAUACUUGGUGCCUGAGGAAGCAAAAGCAGAUAAAGAAAUUGGAAUGAGACUUGCCUGAGAGGAACUUUGAAUCAUUUCAGAGAGGAAUGAAAUCUCAAAUUUUAAAACCUAAUUUAAUAAACAUACAUCUUUGCAAAAUAACAUUGUGCAUAUCAGCAGCGUUUCUAUCUCCAACUGAAAAUGGAAGCAAAGUUUUCCAUGACUGGGAAAUCCUCUUGAUAUUGAG
rnacentral:lncRNA from 1 species